rnacentral:rRNA from 1 species
UACGGGGGGAGCAAGCGUUGUUCGGAUUUACUGGGCGUAAAGGGCGCGUAGGCGGCACCGCAAGUCGAUUGUGAAAUCUCCGGGCUUAACCCGGAAAGGUCAACCGAUACUGCGGGGCUAGAGUGCAGAAGGGGCAACUGGAAUUCUCGGUGUAGCGGUGAAAUGCGUAGAUAUCGAGAGGAACACCUGCGGCGAAGGCGGGUUGCUGGGCUGACACUGACGCUGAAGUGCGAAAGCUAGGGGAGCGAACGGG